CGUACACUCCUACGGGAGGCAGCAGUGGGGAAUUUUGGACAAUGGGCGAAAGCCUGAUCCAGCCAUGCCGCGUGCAGGAUGAAGGCCUUCGGGUUGUAAACUGCUUUUGUACGGAACGAAACGGCCUUUUCUAAUAAAGAGGGCUAAUGACGGUACCGUAAGAAUAAGCACCGGCUAACUACGUGCCAGCAGCCGCGGUAAUACGUAGGGUGCAAGCGUUAAUCGGAAUUACUGGGCGUAAAGCGUGCGCAGGCGGUUAUGUAAGACAGUUGUGAAAUCCCCGGGCUCAACCUGGGAACUGCAUCUGUGACUGCAUAGCUAGAGUACGGUAGAGGGGGAUGGAAUUCCGCGUGUAGCAGUGAAAUGCGUAGAUAUGCGGAGGAACACUGAUGGCGAAGGCAAUCCCCUGGACCUGUACUGACGCUCAUGCACGAAAGCGUGGGGAGCAAACAGGAUUAGAAACCCUGGUAGUCCCAU
rnacentral:rRNA from 1 species